ACGGUGACGGGCUAGCGCUAGCUCGCGUUAGCUGUUGACAUUAGCCGCUCAACUCCCGCACGGAAAUCUGCACGAAAUGCGCAGAUUUACACGUGCAAACCGAGCUUCGCCUUCGACUAAAACACGACCGUGAAUUGUUAAAUGUCGAAUGGCCGCUGGCAACGUGCCUGGCAUAACAUAAAAGCGGCUAUCGGAGCUCACCCACACGCUCCUGUACAAUGCUAACCUAGCUAGAUCACUAGCUAGCUAGCGCAAAUUGCCAAAGACACAACUAGUAAAGUUAACGUGCCCGCAAACGGACUACCACCAUUUUCUAUACAGAGCGCUGUAACGUUACACACGAGUAGUUUACACCUGGUGUCACCGCGUGUUGUUUAAUCGUGACUACAUACCUGCAGUGUGCAGUGACAGUCCGGCGCUUGUGAGUUUCAGGCAGAUGGAUGCAGCAGGAAGCCCUCAGUGUAACGCACCCAACCUGGUGCUGUCGAGCCCCAGCUGCUGCAGGAUCGCCCUGACCUGCAGCAGCGCCAGACGAUCGCUGUGGAGCACGAGGGGCAGGGGGGGAGAGCAGGUCAGAGGUCAGCCAACAGCAGGAGAGUCACCGGAUAUCUCACAGCUGUUCCCAGAGGCUAAGGAACUUUGUCUCGAAGAUGCCCCUGGUCUUCAACGUCUCUGAGAUUUGUCCCCGGAAGAGGAAGCCACGCUUGGUCAGAUCAAUCAGAAUCUGCCUGACGAUCUCUCCCAGGAAUGGACCUGACGAAGGUGGGCAGCAUCUUGACGGUGGCGGUGGGGUUCGUGUCGCGGCUGAGCCCGUUCUCCAUCUCCCUGCGGAACCGGUUCAUGAUGUCCUUCAGCGUCUCGUCCGAGAAACGCAUGGAGUACAGGAGGGGCCAUAUAUGGGAGGAGGAUGAUUCUCUGGAGUCAGUCCAUCAUCACACAGAGAGCCACGCUUGGGUUAGUUUUUCUUUUAUUUGCAUUGUUUUGAGUUAUCUAAUUAAUUUUUUACAUCUUGCUUUUUUUUUCUGUUCCACUACUUUUAUUUUUCUUUUUUUCUUUUCUUAUAUUUUGUCCCAUGACUCGACCUAAACCUUUCCAAACUGCUUGUCUGGUCUAGAGUCAGUCACCUGACUUCACUAUGACUGUAACACAGUGUCUUUCCUGAUUCUUCCACUAGGGGUCACCAAAAUCUGGCAUUUCUCAACCCUGCACUUUGGGGCUGUAGAAGGACAUAAAACAUCAUUUUGAGGGUUUAAUA